rnacentral:rRNA from 1 species
GCGCUAUUGGAGCGGCCGAUGUCCGAUUAGCUAGUUGGUGGGGUAAAGGCCUACCAAGGCGACGAUCGGUAGCUGGUCUGAGAGGAUGAUCAGCCACACUGGGACUGAGACACGGCCCAG